rnacentral:rRNA from 1 species
AUUGAACGCUGGCGGCAUGCUUUACACAUGCAAGUCGAACGGCAGCGCGGGCUUCGGCCUGGCGGCGAGUGGCGAACGGGUGAGUAAUGCAUCGGAACGUGCCCAGUAGUGGGGGAUAGCCCGGCAAAAGCCGGAUUAAUACCGCAUGCGACCUGAGGGUGAAAGCGGGGGACCGAAAGGCCUCGCGCUAUUGGAGCGGCCGAUGUCGGAUUAGCUAGUUGGUGGGGUAAAGGCUUACCAAGGCGACGAUCCGUAGCUGGUCUGAGAGGACGACCAGCCACACUGGGACUGAGACACGGCCCAGACUCCUACGGGAGGCAGCAGUGGGGAAUUUUGGACAAUGGGGGCAACCCUGAUCCAGCCAUGCCGCGUGCGGGAAGAAGGCCUUCGGGUUGUAAACCGCUUUUGUUCGGGAAGAAAUCCUCUGGGCUAAUACCCCGGGGGGAUGACGGUACCGGAAGAAUAAGCACCGGCUAACUACGUG